GAUGAAGAACGCAGCGAAAUGCGAUAAGUAAUGCGAAUUGCAGAAUCCGUGAGUCAUCGAAUCUUUGAACGCACAUUGCGCCCGCUGGUAUUCCGGCGGGCAUGCCUGUUCGAGCGUCAUUUCAACCCUCAAGCCCCCGGGUUUGGUGUUGGGGAUCGGCUCUGCCCUUCUGGGCGGUGCCGCCCCCGAAAUACAUUGGCGGUCUCGCUGCAGCCUCCAUUGCGUAGUAGCUAACACCUCGCAACUGGAACGCGGCGCGGCCAUGCCGUAAAACCCCAACUUCUGAAUGUUGACCUCGGAUCAGGUAGGAAUACCCGCUGAACUUAAGCAUAUCAAAAGCGGAGGA
rnacentral:misc_RNA from 1 species